rnacentral:rRNA from 1 species
AUUGAACGCUGGCGGCAUGCCUUACACAUGCAAGUCGAACGGUAACAGGUCUUUCGGGAUGCUGACGAGUGGCGAACGGGUGAGUAAUACAUCGGAACGUGCCUAGUAGUGGGGGAUAACUACUCGAAAGAGUGGCUAAUACCGCAUGAGAUCUAUGGAUGAAAGCAGGGGACCUUCGGGCCUUGUGCUACUAGAGCGGCCGAUGGCAGAUUAGGUAGUUGGUGGGAUAAAAGCUUACCAAGCCUACGAUCUGUAGCUGGUCUGAGAGGACGAUCAGCCACACUGGGACUGAGACACGGCCCAGACUCCUACGGGAGGCAGCAGUGGGGAAUUUUGGACAAUGGGGGGAACCCUGAUCCAGCAAUGCCGCGUGCAGGAUGAAGGCCUUCGGGUUGUAAACUGCUUUUGUACGGAACGAAAAGUCUUGGGUUAAUACCCUGGGAUCAUGACGGUACCGUAAGAAUAAGCACCGGCUAACUACGUGCCAGCCGCCGCCGUAACAC